UCAACUUCAUCUGUUCCUGAAGCCUCCAUAUUCAAACUCUAAAGAAAAAGCCAUCACUUGAUUCCAUUCUUUUAUAAAAUUCACUGUAUGUUCAAAGGGCGAGGGAGAAGUCGAAGAUGACCCGCACAAGGAAGAAGAAUCGGAAGAAGCUCCAACACCCUCCAGGAACCCAGACGGUUGGCCAGGGUCUGCACCCAGGGCAGGGCCCCGCAGAACCGGCCAUUCGGAGACUACAAACACCAAACUCCAACCUUCUCCACUCCGCCAGCCUCAAGCCGACCCCUCGGCGGCGACACGGGACUGCAUAACUGUACAGCGGCGCACGAGUCCGCACACCAGGAUACGCUCCGGCUCCUGCAGCGGCACCGAGCAGCGCGUACGCACCGCGGGACGUACGGGACAGGGCCCCGUGCGGCCACCGUAGCACCGGACGCUGAUGCCUCCGCAGGCCGCGAUCUCGCAGGCAACUCUGUCCCAGGCCCUAAGCUCCUGGGAUGCAGGCACAGAGCCCAGAGUCGUGCAACUGUGAGCGGCAGCCUCGUGUUAGGGUUUACAGCUGUCCCCCGCAGCUGUAACUACUGUAUCUAAGCUACCAGCUGCCACGCACCGUGAGUGUUGCGGCCUCGGGACUACAAGAUCCAGCAUGCACAGCUCUGGGUCCUUAAGACCAAACCUUCUUGGAUAAAAAUACUAAGUCUCUCUGCACCAAGGCAAACUGUGGUUAAGGGUGCUGAUUACAUCUUGGUGGAGCGUCUAGGGACGUAUGCAUUCAGUUUUUCACAUUCAGAUUCUCGUCAAGGAUUGAAAUACAGAACCGGCCUUUAGGAAAUGUGGAGAGAAAUACUAAAUAAUGACAAAAUGUAAUUCUACUAAUAUAUCCUUUUCAGUAACUGUUGAAGCAAUGCAUAAGAAAUAAGAGUAGAAACUAGAAGG